AGCACACAUGCCCUAUGGCAAACUCCCCUCUCCCUCAAAAAACAAAAUUGGAAGACUUACAUCAUUGGAGUUCAAGAUUUACUAAAAAGUGACUUGGCAGAACUUCAUCAGCAAAAAACGGAGCGCCAUCCCCAAGGAAACACGAAGCCUGGCAGUCUGAGUACUUCUGUCCUCCGGGUCCCCUUUGUCCAUCUAUGAGACAGAGAUUAAACUAGUCGCUCCGAUCCUGCCAAUUUUGCUUUCUGUGAUUUUUGGAGCUUGGCCAAAAAUUUUUGGAAUAUGUGAGACCCGGCAGUAGGCUGGGCACGCCUAUACUGGCCAGCUAUAAAAUUUUCAGGAAUCUUGCAAGAUAAUAUUACCACUGGCAACUUCAA